CAUCUUCUAUGGACAGGAAUUUGGCUACAUAGUAGCCCUCCUCAUGGUAAUAUAAAUCAGGUUCUGGGACAUGAGACAGUGGAGAUUAAUGAAUCGUUUCAUAGCAUUAAAUCCUGGUCCAUUCCCAAACACAAAAAUUACUAAGGCACUCUUCCAUUUUUGCUCUUCCUCCUCCACAUCCUCUUUCAUCAACUGGCCAACAGGCUUACCAUCGAGCAUAGUUGGUGGAAUAUACUCCAAGACCAUACAUUUGAUGCAAAUCUAUUCUUCUGGAAGAAAUUUGCCCAACCUUUGGGUGCUGCAUUUGUCGCCUUAG
rnacentral:lncRNA from 1 species